ACCUUGCUGACGAGUGCCAAAUAAGACGAUGCCCGGGUCCAGGGU
rnacentral:hammerhead_ribozyme from 1 species